rnacentral:lncRNA from 1 species
GGGAUUUGUGACUCUGCAAGAUGCAGCACUGGAUAGGACUUUAGACAGGCUACACUAAUAACUUAGUCCACGUAGAAGAUAGAUUAUUUGAAGGGAUGCAAGUAGAAUUCCAAAAGGGAACUUGGCUUUUCCCAUGAUUUUUCAACAGUGAGAACCACAACCAUUAUCAGAUAUAUUGCCAUAAGCAGAGCGCAAGAACUUCCAAGGUAAGGGAAGAAAAGCAAGUAUACUAUCCAUGAAGUAGAUUAGAGAAUAUCUUACACAAAAACAAAUUAUGACUUGGAGACCAAGAGUUUCCUAGAAACUUGGUAAAAUAUUAACUGAUCCUUUCCAUUAUUAAUUUGUUACCUCAUAGAUGACCAUUCAAAACAUAAAUAUUAGAAAUAUUUGUGGGUAUUGUUUCUAUAAAAUUAGACGCAACAUUGAUAAAGGCACCAGCUAGGUGUUUCUUCAGCAGAUCAAGUUAUUGAACUCCUAUUCACAUCUUGCAGUACUAAUUUUGAACUCAGGUAAGAUAAAGAAAAAGAAGAGCAAGGCAGACAGCCUACCUGGUGAACAUCAUUAACAGGGAUAUGGAAGGUGCUAAACAACUGGAAAUUUGAACUCAGGUAAGAUAAAGAAAAAAGGAGAACAAGGCAGACAGCCUACCUGGUGAACAUCAUUAACAGGG